GGCUUCGUAGCUCAGUUGGUAGAGCGCUUGCGGUGUUUGGGCAUGGUGUUUCUCUCGCUGGUUCGAAUCCAGCCGAAGUCC